CAGCCGCCGCGGUAAUACAGAGGGUGCGAGCGUUAAUCGGAUUUACUGGGCGUAAAGCGUGCGUAGGCGGCUUUUUAAGUCGGAUGUGAAAUCCCUGAGCUUAACUUAGGAAUUGCAUUCGAUACUGGGAAGCUAGAGUAUGGGAGAGGAUGGUAGAAUUCCAGGUGUAGCGGUGAAAUGCGUAGAGAUCUGGAGGAAUACCGAUGGCGAAGGCAGCCAUCUGGCCUAAUACUGACGCUGAGGUACGAAAGCAUGGGGAGCAAACAGGAUUAGAUACCCGUGUAGUCCCUGUCUCUUUACA
rnacentral:rRNA from 1 species